GACGAACGCUGGCGGCGUGCUUAACACAUGCAAGUCGAACGGAAAGGCCCUGCUUUUGUGGGGUGCUCGAGUGGCGAACGGGUGAGUAACACGUGAGUAACCUGCCCUUGACAUUGGGAUAACUUCAGGAAACUGGGGCUAAUACCGGAUAGGAGCUCCUGCUGCAUGGUGGGGGUUGGAAAGUUUCGGCGGUUGGGGAUGGACUCGCGGCUUAUCAGCUUGUUGGUGGGGUAGUGGCUUACCAAGGCUUUGACGGGUAGCCGGCCUGAGAGGGUGACCGGCCACAUGGGGACUGAGGGACGGCCCAGACUCCUACGGGAGGCAGCAGUGGGGAAUAUGGCAGAAUGGGCGGAAGCCAGAGGCAGCAACCCCGCGUGCGGGAUGACGGCCUUCGGGGUGUAAACCGCUGUCGCCUGUGACGAAGCGGGAGUGACGGUAAUGAGUAAAGAAGCACCGGCUAACUACGUG
rnacentral:rRNA from 1 species